rnacentral:rRNA from 1 species
GACGAACGCUGGCGGCGUGCUUAACACAUGCAAGUCGAACGAAGAGCGAUGGAAGCUUGCUUCUAUCAAUCUUAGUGGCGAACGGGUGAGUAACGCGUAAUCAACCUGCCCUUCAGAGGGGGACAACAGUUGGAAACGACUGCUAAUACCGCAUACGAUCUAAUCUCGGCAUCGAGGAUAGAUGAAAGGUGGCCUCUACAUGUAAGCUAUCGCUGAAGGAGGGGAUUGCGUCUGAUUAGCUAGUUGGUGGGGGAACGGCCCACCAAGGCGAUGAUCAGUAGCCGGUCUGAGAGGAUGGACGGCCACAUUGGGACUUGGACACGGCCCAGACUCCUACGGGAGGCAGCAGUGGGGAAUCUUCCGCAAUGGACGAAAGUCUGACGGAGCAACGCCGCGUGAGUGAUGACGGCCUUCGGGUUGUAAAGCUCUGUUAAUCGGGACGAAAGGCCUUCUUGCGAAUAGUGAGAAGGAUUGACGGUACCGGAAUAGAAAGCCACGGCUAACUACGUG